rnacentral:lncRNA from 1 species
GGGGAGGGGGCAGAUGGCAGCUCUGGGACAUUUUACCGGCCUUUCAAACAAAUCUAUCUAUCUUUUAAAUGUAUUAACUUUUUUUUUUUUUUUUUACAUUCCAAUCCAAGCGACCCCUCCUCCUGCUCCUCCCGGAUCUUCCCCCCCCCCCCCCGGGUCUAGGCUGAGCAAGGAGGUAUUUCUCAAACCACAGACCGGGGUAGGUAGGGGUGGUGUCUUUGACAGUCCUGGCUAUCCUGGAACUCACACUCUGUAGACCAGUGUGCCCCGACUUGCGGGGUCCCACACACGAGCUCACACCCCGAUGAUCAAACUGCAACCCCCCCCCACACACACACACACACACACACAGGGACCUGAUAUAGGGGUGCCAAGCGGGGAGCUUGGCAGGAAGGGAGAGGUCGUUUGAGGCUGCUUGCCUGAUAACCAGGCUGAGGAAUGUCCCUGUGCAUGAGUCCUUGAGAGUGCAGGAGGUUAGCAAGGUCUCACACACAGGUGUGUGUGCAGGUGUUUAGAUAGUGGGUUAGAAGAGGGUAAGGAUUGGUAGGCAGCUAUCCUUUUCAUUAGAAUGAGUUAUCCUGGCAGCUUCUGCCCAAGUCUCUUACAGGUAGUUCCAUCCAAGGUUACUUUUGCCAUGGCCCCCUUUGGUAGACCAGGCCAUAGAUCUGCCUGCCUCUGCAUCCACCAAAGUGAGUGAGUGAGUGAGUGCUAGUGGGACUAAAGGCUUGUGAAGCACCACUGCCCUGCAGGAUUCCACAUUUUCAGUGACUUAGUCGGGAGAGCGGCCUGUGCACAUAGCCUCAGAAAUCAGUACGUAGACCAGACCUGCCUGCCUGCAAUUCACAGAGUUCCAAAACUUGUCUGUGUCUCCUAAAUGAUGGGAUUAAAGGCGUGCACCACCACACCUACCUGUUUGUUUCUGUGACUCUGGGGAAGGGAAGUUUUUAUCUGCCUGCCUGCCUGCCUGCCUGCCUGCCUGCCUGCCUACCUGCCUGCUUUUUCUGUUACUUUUUGUGCAUUAAAUUUAUUUUCAGACAGAUUUUAGUCAU